rnacentral:rRNA from 1 species
CAAGCCUGAUGCAGCGACGCCGCGUGAGGGAUGACGGCCUUCGGGUGUAAACCUCUUUCAGCAGGGAGAAGGCUUCGGGUGACGGUACCUGCAGAAGAAGCGCCGGCUAACUACGUGCCAGCAGCCGCGGUAAUACGUAGGGCGCAAGCGUUGUCCGGAAUUAUUGGGCGUAAAGAGCUCGUAGGCGGUUUGUCGCGUCUGCUGUGAAAACGCGAGGCUCAACCUCGCGCUGCAGUGGGUACGGGCAGACUAGAGUGCGGUAGGGGAGACUGGAAUUCCUGGUGUAGCGGUGGAAUGCGCAGAUAUCAGGAGGAACACCGGUGGCGAAGGCGGGUCUCUGGGCCGUUACUGACGCUGAGGAGCGAAAGCAUGGGGAGCGAACAGGAUUAGAUACCCUGGUAGUCCAUGCCGUAAACGUUGGGCACUAGGUGUGGGGCCCGUUCCACGGGUUCCGUGCCGCAGCUAACGCAUUAAGUGCCCCGCCUGGGGAGUACGGCCGCAAGGCUAAAACCCAAAGGAAUUGACGGGGGCCCGCACAAGCGGCGGAGCAUGCGGAUUAAUUCGAUGCAACGCGAAGAACCUUACCAAGGCUUGACAUACACCGGAAACGUCCAGAGAUGGGCGCCCCGCAAGGUCGGUGUACAGGUGGUGCAUGGUUGUCGUCAGCUCGUGUCGUGAGAUGUUGGGUUAAGUCCCGCAACGAGCGCAACCCUUGUCCUGUGUUGCCAGCGGGUUAUGCCGGGGACUCAUGGGAGACUGCCGGGGUCAACUCGGAGGAAGGUGGGGACGACGUCAAAUCAUCAUGCCCCUUAUGUCUUGGGCUUCACGCAUGCUACAAUGGCCGGUACAAAGGGCUGCGAUGCCGUAAGGUGGAGCGAAUCCCAAAAAGCCGGUCUCAGUUCGGAUUGGGGUCUGCAACUCGACCCCAUGAAGUCGGAGUCGCUAGUAAUCGCAGAUCAGCAACGCCGCGGUGAAUACGUUCCCGGG